CACACCGACUGCAGUAUUAUCGCUCCCGUAAGCGAACUUACGAAUCCUACUAUGGAAAAGCAGUUGUCGUAAAUAUUCAGGAGGCAGUCCUUUGGCAUUGGAAGGUCGCAAGAAACGUCACGAUAACCUAAUUAAUAUGCAUAAGCCAAAGCUUGGUCAUGUCAGCUGUGCCCCAUGGACAUCAAGAAUAGGAACUUUAUUCAAUUACUUGUCUUCUUGUUUGUGGGUGCUCGCUGACGUUUCUCUGGGAAAAGCUCUAUUGAAAGUGGAUUAGAGUAAGUCUCACGACCUCCUUCUUAAGUGGAAGAAAAAACAACUGCCUGAUCUACUCUCUCAAGGGUCCAGCUCAGUUCCAAAUCUUCAAGAAGCUGUCCCAUGAGCCAGUGCAAACGCACAUGCCAUCUGGUGGUACUCCAGUGCAGCUCACCCUGUUGUCAUGGCCAGACAACACACCUACAAGAGAGAACGGAAGAAAGGAAGGAAGUGAGAAUAUUCUUUGACAUUCGACAUUUUGUUCUUCAUGAACAUUUAUUUUACGAUGCAAUGAAACGGAAGUAGCAACAGAUCUUUUUUCCAUAUUGUGACAUAAAUCUGAGUAACAGAUUAUCGGAAAGAUGGAGAUGGAGAUGUCGGCGCUGCACUCAAAAGUGGACGCAGACAAACAUGAGCUUUCAGCAUCGGGUUUAAGCGGAAUAAAUGAUUGGAGAAGUCUGGCAUAUGUCAUUUCACCGUCAGUCUGUCUUUUCACCGGAAGAUCCAAUUAUGAGAUUUUGAUUUAAAACAUAUUAAACAUAUGCAUGGAUGAAUUGUUCACAAAAUCCAUAACAUGCAUUUAGAACAUAAAAAGGGGGAAUUUUAAUUUCGUGCCGACUUUAAGUAGAAUACUUCCUCGACUUAAGGACCCAGUAUUCUUCAAGCGCAAUCGAAGAACGAACUAGUGUGUCAAUUCAAACAAAAUCAGGCCAAAAUAUUUGGAGUUCGAAACAGCUUGCCAAAGCGAAAUUUCUGGAAAAGUUCACUCCGGCUGGUAAACAUUUUUGAUCUACUGUUGGUCUGUGGCGAUUUCAUAAUAUUAGGCGUUAUAAAGUAAAAUAUAUAGCUUCCGCCACACCACCUUCCGAAUUUAACUCAUCUCGUAGUUUAAACUGCUUACGCUACUUCUUACACCUUCAGUACUCAACUUACGGAAAAAAGCGUAAAAGCUUUCUUCGUAAGUUGAAUACGGAAGGCAGUCUGGUGGAAGCUAGAUAUUUUACUUUAUAAUUUAUUAAAUAUGGAUAUUUUUCUAUGUUUUACACAAACACAUUGCUUCGCUUCAGAAGGCCUUUAUUAACCCACUGGAGCCAUGUGGAGUACGUUUAUGAUGGAUGGAUGCACUUUCUUCAGCUCAUACUCGUUGAUCCCUGUUCACUGCCAUUAUAAAGCUCGGAUGCGUCAGGAUAUUUAUUAAUAUAUCUCCGAUUGUGUUCAUCAGAAAGAAGAAAGUCAUUUACACCUAGGAUGUCUUGAGGCGAGUCCCAAAUAUUGCAGUUGAAGUCAUCGUAGCCAGCAAAGAUGAGGCGGCCAGACAUGGACAGAGCCAGUGAUGUAACGCCGCUGUUCAGGGCAGCAUCCUGGUAGCCAAUCACUUCUUGAUCCGCACGAAUAUCAUACAUCUUGCACGUGCAGUCAUCCGAGCCAGUGAUAAUUGCAUUGCCACUGGGGAAGAACUGAAGAGGUAGACAUUUGUGCAUCAAACAUUUCGUGUGAACUCACUGAAAUGGCGUUGAUGUCACUCGUGUGACCCUGGAAGGUUUGCUUGCACUGGCCAUCCCUGAUGUCCCACAGCUUGGCCAGAGAGUCGCAAGCACCAGAAACGAAGGAAUUGUUGUCCGGAGACAGAGACAGACACAUACAGUCACCAACAUGGUUCAGGAAAACUGUCUUCUGCUUUCCAGUCUCCAAAUCCCACAGUGCACUGGAAGAAAAAAAUGGGGUUCCCCCAACAGACUGGAUGCAACUUACCUGUGGAAAAACUCUCUCUUUCUCUUCCCCUUCUGCGAGAGAGGAACAGAUGAGGAUUGGAGGGGAUGAAGGAGAUCAGGGAUGAAAGGAUAAGCCCAAAGAUGGGCAGAGAAAGGGUAAGGGAGAGAGAAAGAGAGAAGGAAAGGGGAGGGCAAGGAACAGGUAAAGCGAUUGGAAUGGAAAAUCAGGUUAUGGGGUUGAAAGACAAGGCAAGAGUGAGUGUAGAAAGCAGAGGGCAGAGGAAGUGAUGGAUAGUGUGUGGCAUGAACAAAAAUAUGGUUGAUACCUGAAGAACAUCUUACAACUAUCAAAGUUCUCAGCACUGGUUCUAAAGAUCAUUUUUGAGUAGGCUUUAACAUCAUGUUUAAAGCAUUUCACACUUGUUUUAUCACAUUUGAGCAAGUUUAACACUUGAUGUGUCAUUUCUAAAAGUGUCAUUGGUGUGGUUUGUUGAACGCUCAAUGGGAGGGGGUCUGUUCUUUGGCUUUUGGGUUGAGGGGUUUGAAUUGGUUUGUCAGACCUAAUGAGUUGAGCUCGCCUAAUCAGGUUCUAAGUGGAUAUCCGGGGAAUCGGCAAUCCCGUUAAGGAAUUAGAGCAGGUGAAUCCGUGGAGCAGACGUCACAGGUGACACAAAGAGUAACGGAAGAAGGAAAGUGGGAGAAACUGAUGAAAGUUAUGAUGAUAAGGUGGUGAUGUUCUCAUGACAAUGUUAGUUUUAUAUGUUAUCUUAUAUGAUAUUUUACAUUUCCCAACUCUGGGGAGAGUCAAAUGCAAUAGAAAAGAAUAAUGACAGAGUGUUUUCGCAUUUGGCUCCUAAACUCUGGAAUAGAUUUCCUGAUAAUGUUCGAGGCUCAGACACACUCUCUCAGUUUAAAUCUAGAUUAAAGAGAGACAUCUCUUUAGCCAAGCAUUCACAUAAUGCACCCUCAUAACCUUUUACUCUAGUUAUAUCAGAUAAAAUGCACAUGAUUAUCUUUUGAAUUGUCAUGAACAGCAACUACGCUAAUUAUUUUCCAUUUCCAUCACGACUCCUGAGGUAACUAGAGAGUAUGCCAGCUCCAGUUUGGAUUCAGUCUCUUACCAAGAUUUCAGAUGCCCUCAACACCUGUGAAGAGAUGACGCAAACCCCUGCGAGGAGUUCAUACUAGCUCUGCAUCACUGCCAAAUUUUCUAUAUAUUGUAAUCAUUAUGAUUACGAUUAAAACUUGUAAUAAUUGCUUUUAAUGAGAUCAUUGUUUCUGCCAAAAUGAAUACAUGAUUUCAGCUAACUGCAUGAUCUUAUCUUAUCUUAUCUUAGAACUGUGCAUUUUUGACAAAUGGACAUUACUUUGGCACAGUCACCUCUGAUAAAAGAGUACUCUAAAUUGUAAUGAAGAAACAUGCAUUUUUUGUAAAGCUGCUUUGAAACAAUAUGUAUUGUGAAACGCGCUAUACAAAUAAAUGUGAAUUGAAUUGAA